rnacentral:lncRNA from 1 species
UCACGUUUUGUAACCAAAGUCUCCUGGAGGGAGAACUUGGGUUUGUGUAUAGAUCUAUAGGGGAUUGACCAUCGUACACCUUGCUGCUAGCUACAGUGGGACCUGCAGGUCUACGAGUGACAAAUGUGAUACCAUUUCGACAUCUUUUGAUCGUCGUGUUUUAUACUAGUCAAUCAAAGAUGGUUCUAACCUCAUCACAUUUACUUUAAUUUAACUUACUGGUUUUAAGGUAGUUAGUACUUCAGUAGUUAUUUUAUACAAUACUGAUGUACAUCUUCAUUUUCCCAUUACAUUCAUAUAGUGAUAUUCUCACAUCGAGUAAUGCAAACUAUUUUCUAGUAAAGAUAGUCAUAAACUUGGGAAAACAUACAUUUUACAAAAGAACAAGCAUACAAUACAGUUGAGUCUUGGUAGAAGACUACUUCUCAUUUAAGUAGAAAAUAUAGGAUUUUCUAGGAAGUAUACAAACAUUUACAUCAAAACACUUGCAAACAUUUUCAUAAAACUAAAGCAAACAAUUGACACAAAAAAUACUUAUGAACUCACCGACUUUAAUGUUGAUCUACUCUUUCAAAAUAACUUGUAUUCUCAGGUCACCAAUAGACAGGUACCGAUGACCAGGUUUUUGAGAAGACGGGGCAUGUUCAAGACUCGUCUUUAUUUAGAUUACAUAUUUUUGGUGUCUUUCAAACUUUAUACAGAACACACUUGUAUUAACUAUACUAUUAAUGUAAUGGAUGAUGUUGUUGCUUGUUUUACUAUUGUACAUUGUUAUGAUACUGUACAUGACGUCCUCUGCCCCCGAACGUUUCUGCCGUUCCGGUUUGGGGGUGUGACAGAUUGGUAUCAGAGCUUUGUUUAUAGUGAAUUGAGUAUAUCAACCCAUAAAAGAUGUACAACUAUAAACACAUCGGAAUUAAAACACUCUGACAAAGGGUUAAUACUUUUAAAUAAUAAAAUAUUUUAUUAAAGUAUACAUACAUGCAUUCAUACUAGGAUCAAUUUCAUACUAGAACAGAACAAAAGUAUUGCGGUUGUUGGACAACACGAGUAGGCCUGGGACAUAUAAUCAGAUCUGGGAGUGAUAUAGCCUGAUCAACUAUAUCUUUCUGAGAAGUGAUUAGCAUGUGCCUAGGAAUGGUUGUGGUGUUGCAAUAAGUCUAAAAACUUACCAACUCUACUACAAUGAAAACUUUAGAAUAUAACAUAAAAUUAAAAUACUAUAGGAGUAUUUUGUGAUACUAUAAUUACUUGUGUGAAAACUAAAAGGUCUUUACUAGUAGUUCAAUAGUUACUGAGUGGAUACGCUAAGGUUACUUGUGACUAAGGUGUCAUAGACUUAUAAUCUGUGAUCUUUGCUUUACUUACUGUUCCUUGUUUGGUUGUGGACUUAGAGUUAGGGUCAUUUAUUCGAAGGUCUAUUCUAUCUUCGUUACAUAUGACUGGUAUGCACUACGCAAGUAUUGAAGUAACUGGUAAGGAUCAUCCUAUAAUUAUCUUAAGUAGUACGUAUAUUAUAUGUUUCUUACAUCCCUUUUCUCGCUUAGAUAACAUGGUUGGGUUCCAUUUACUUGACGAACCUCACUUUCCCGAUCAAGGGAAUGGUGGAUGGCUUGAUGUAGAGCCUGAAGAAGGGAACCCGGUGGUCCCAGCAGUAGAAGACCCCGAGGAAAGUUUCGAUGAAGAGAACAAAGAUGAAAUCCAGGAAGACUUAGACUCAGAACCAUAGGUCUUUGAUCCACCCCAAGUUGCUCAAAAUCCUAACCCUCGUCCGGCUUUUCAAGGCCCGACGCCUCUGUGGGCGGUAAACUUGGAAAGGUGGAGCCAUGAACAGGGACAAUCACCUCCAUACAAUGGCGAUCGAAGCUUCUACAACCUGAAUGAGGGAGGCUCAGCAGACAGAGUCCUUCCUAUUUUGGUGCGUCGUGUUGCUCGCAAUGCUAAACAGGGAAGAGCAAACUUCGACCAAGGCAUGGAGAUCUGUGCUAACUCCGGAAUCAACACAGUUCUUCUCUGUCAUCUGACCGAUGACCAUACCUUAGAAUGGACUCACACUGACGCCCUACAGGUAGAACUGAAUGCCUGCCAAUCUAAAGUUAGGGAUCUUCGUCAGAACCAGGUGGCACUGCAAAGGCGUGUAUGGGUAACGAAACAGCAGCUGGCUGAAUCCAGGGUUGAAUCAAGUACCAACCAGAACAACUCCCCUCGUGAUUAGAGCCUACUCUACUCUCUCUUUUGGAUAUAAAUUAGGUCUAUGUAUAGACUCUAGUAUUAAUUUCCUGCUUAUGUUAAGACCUUGAACUUUCAGUCUGUUAGGUCUUUGUACUAUCACAAUUUUCUCAAUUUUGGUGUGAUGUAAGACCUACUCCAAGGUCAAUUUUCCCGAACUUAUUACAUAUUUAAUACCAAUGAUAUUGACAGACAUCUAAUCCCUUGGGGAAAUCUUUGUCCAAAUACUUUCAUCCUUUGUUGAACUAUGGUGAAUUAGUUCAUGGAUCACUAUCAUUAUUCUCACUAUUGAAUUCUUACUAUCAUCUUCAUCUUUGUAAACUUUCAGUUGAAAGAUGCCUCCCCGUCGAUCAACGAGACGCAAUCCUCAGAUAACUCUAACUCAACCACCACCUCCUCCACAAUACGACCCUACGGUACUUCAAGCUGCAGUGGCUGCGACUGUUAUGGCAGCCUUAAUUCAAUUCAACGGUAGCAGUGCUAGCAGGGGUGGAACAACGGUUGAUUCUACUCAAGGUGAUGUAUGAGGGCGCUCUAGGGAGUGUUCGUACCAGGACUUCACCAACUGUAAACCUAGAGCCUUUAACGAAAAUGGUGGGAUCAUUGAUCUAUCGCAAUGGUUUGAGAAAACUGAGUCGAUCUUUGAGAUCUGCUCCUGCCCAGAAGGAAGCAAAGUAAAAUUUACUGCUUGCACCUUCUCGGACAAAGCCCUCAAAUGGUGGAAUAGCCAUGUCAAGUCACUCACUCUAAUAGUGGCUAAUGUCAUGGGUUGGGAAGUUCUGAAGGAGUUGAUGAUUGAGGAGUACUGCCUGAGGGACGAGGUUCAGAAACUUGAACAAUAACUCUGGAGCCUAACCAUGAAGGGCUCCGACAUAGUAGCCUACACUGCCAGGUUCAGUGAUCUGGUGGCUCUAUGUACAGGAAUUGUCCCUAUAGAGGGAAAGAAGAUCCAAAGGUACAUUCGAAGUCAUUAUCGACAUGGAUUGGUUGAGUGUUCAGCAUGCUGACAUCAUGUUUUAUGAGAAGGCCGUUCGUCUUAAUCUACCAUCUAACGAAACCGUAGUUAUCUAUAGCGACAAACCAGGAACGAACCUUCGAAUCAUCUCUAGUAUACAAGCUCAGAAGUACUUGUGGAAGGAAUUUCAUGCAUUCCUCGCUCAUGUAGUUGAUAUGAGCCAAGAGGCGAAAGACAUAAAGAGCAUCCCAGAAGCACACGACUUUCCCAAUGUCUUUCUCGAAGAACUACCAGGAUUACCACCACAACAUCAAGUCGAGUUCAGAAUUGACUUAGUUCCAAGGGCCACCCCAGUAGCCAAAUCUCCAUACCGACUAGCACCAGUUAAGAUGCAGGAGCUAUCCGGUCAACUGAACGAACUGCUCAACAAGGGAUUUAUUAGACCAAGCUUCUCACCCUGGGGAGCAAUGGUCUUGUUCAUAAAGAAGAAAUUCGGAUCGUUCCGUAUGUGCAUCGACUAUCGAGAACUAAACAAACUUAUUGUCAAGAACAGAUACCCUCUACCGCGCAUAGAUGACUUGUUCGACCAAAUGCAAAGGGCGAAUUACUUUUCAAAGACUGAUAUGAGAUUCGGGUAUCACCAGUUACAAGUUUUAGAGAAAGGUGUUCCCAAAACAGCCUUCCGAACUCGUUUUGUACACUACAAGUUUGUAGUGAUGCCAUUCGGAUUAACCAAUGUGCCCGCAGUGUUCAUGGACUUAAUGAAACGGGUGUGCCGUCCUUACUUAGACCGAUUCGUUAUUGUAUUCAUCGAUGACAUACUUAUCUACUCUCGAAGUAAGGAGGUGCAUAGUCAACACCUACAUUAGAUCUUAGAAAUGCUACGAGUGGAGAAAUUCUAUGAGAAGUUUUCUAAGUGCGAAUUUUGGAUUCGAAGAGUCGAAUUCUAGGAUCACAUGGUUAGCGAAGAGGGAAUUCACAUGGGCCAUUCUAAAAUAAAGGCCAUUGAGAACUGGUGAGCUCCAAAGACGCCUACAUAAAGUCGUCAAUUUCUAGGCCUCGCUGGGUACUAUCGCAGGUUUAUUCAUAACUUCUCUAAGAUCAUGAAACUGCUUACUACAUUGACCCAGAAAGGUGUGACCAUUGACUGGGAAGAGAAACAAGAGAAGGCGUUCAAAAUGCUGAAGCGAGCCUUAUGUAGUGCACCGAUACUGUCCCUCCCAGAAGGGAUAGAAGACAUCGUGGUUUAUUGCGAUGCAUCCAACCAAGAGCUUGAUUGUGUUCUUAUGUAACGAGGAAAGGUUAUCGCCUAUGCCUCAAGACAGCUUAAGAUGCACGAAGUCAACUACACUACACAUGAUCUUGAGUUAGGAGCAGUGAUAUUUGCUCUGAAGAUCUGGAGACACUACCUGUAUGGUAUGAAAAGCACUAUCUUUACAGACCACAAAAGCCUUCAACAUAAAUUCAACCAGAAGGAGCUCAACAUGAGACAACGCCGGUGGGUCAAGCUACUCAAUGACUACGAAUGCAAUAUUCCUUAUCAUCCAAAUAAAGCCAACGUAGUAGCUGACGUCCUAAGUCGGAAAGAAUACUCUGGUCGUAGAGUCAAAUCAUUGACUAUGACAAUCCAUUGACAUCUGUCCACACAAAUAGCUGGAAUCCUUGAAUCCUGAAAAUGUGGCGGGUGAAUCCCUUAGAGGGAUGGAUAAGAAUUUAGAAGUCAAGGGUGGCAGAGCCUUGUACCUCAUGGAUCAGAUCUGGACAUCGAAGCUCAGUGGUUUCAGAGACGUGGUCAUGACUGAAGCACACAAUACUCGAUAUUUCGUCCACCCAGGUUUAGAUACGAUGUAUGUGGAUCUCAAAAAAUUAUAUUGGUGGCCUAACAUGAAAGCAAAGAUUGCUACCUUCAUGAGUAAGUGUCUCACUUGCGCCAAGGUUAAGGUUGAAUACCAAAAACCCUCAGGUUUACUUCAACAACUGGAAAUACCUGAGUGGAAGUGGGAGCGGAUCACAAUGGACUUCAUAACCAAAUUUCCCAAGACAACGAGUGGUCUCGAUGCCAUUUGGGUGAUCGUAGAUAGGUUAACCUAGUCCGCACACUUCCUACCUAUCAAAGAAACUGAUAAGAUGGAAAAGCUAACCACAACUUACAUUAGGGAGAUUGUACGACUGCAUGGUGUUCCCAUAUCUAUUAUCUAUAAUAGAGAUUAUAGAUUCACUUCAAGAUUUUGGCAGUCGCUACAAAGUUUCGUGAAAACUAGGCUGGACAUGAGUACAACCUUCCAUCCGCAAACCGACGGACAAAGUGAGAGGACUAUUCAAACUCUUGAAGAUAUGUUGCGAGCCUGUGUGAUUGACUUUGGAAAGGCAUGGGAUACUCAUUUACCCCUUGUCGAGUUCUCCUACAAUAACAUUUAUCACACAAGCAUAAAGGCAACUCCAUUUGAAGCCAUCUAUGGAAGGAAGUGCAGAUCCCCUCUAUGCUGGGCUGAGGUGUAUGACACACAAUUAGCUAAAGGACGAGUUCCUGACAGCACUCUCAUGGGUCCGAAAAUAAUUCGGGAAACGACAGAGAAGAUUGUCCAGAUUUGUGAACGAUUGAAGGCCUCUAGAGACCAACAGAAAAGCUAUCCAGACAAGAGACGGAAACCUUUGGAAUUCCAGGUUGGUGAUCGUGUUGUAAUGAAGGUCUCACCCUGGAAGGGCUUGAUACGGUUCAGAAAGCAUGGGAAGCUAAAUCCAAGGUACAUAGGGCCUUUUGAGAUUAUCACUAGGAUCGGCCCUGUAGCUUACAAACUCAAACUACCCCAAGAACUUAGUAACGUACACCCUACCUUCCACGUUUUGAACCUGAAAAAGUUUCUAUCCAAUGAGACUCUUGUUAUCCCACUCAAUGAAAUCGAUGUCAAUGAGAGCCUCAACUUCGUGGAAGAACCAGUAGAAAUCAUGGACCGGGAGGUCAAGCAAACAAAGCAAAGCCGUAUCCUGAUAGUGAAGGUUCGCUGCAAUGCAAAACAGGGACUCGAGUUCACUUGGUCUAUAUGUAUUUGCUUAAACUCUAAUUUUGAGACGAAAUUCCCUUUAACAGGGAGAUGAUGUGACAACCCGAAAUUUCUAUCUUAUAUAGUCAAUCAAUUCAAUGAAAAGUCAGACUUGUUUCUGUUACCUUUAUACUGUGUUAAGGGUCUGUGAUAGAGUUUCUAAGCCUAAUACACUAAAAGAUUGUGUGUUAGGAAGUGUUAGCUUUAGAUCAUUGAGUUGCAAUUGAGCCGGAAACACCCUCAAAGUAGUUCACGGCCGCAAACUAGGUUCACGACCGUGUACCCAUCCUUGGCCGUGAACUCAUGCCAUAUACAUGAGUUUUGGCCAUUUUUCUCUUCACUUCUCCACUUCCAUCCAUGAAUACAUCAUUUCUCUCUCAAGUAUCAUCCAUAAAAGAGUCUUCUUUCACCCCAAAAAUGUAAGUAUCUCAUCCCUUUACUUGCUUAUACUUAGAAACCCCUUUGAUCUUAACAUUGAUUCAUCACUCUUUCAUCAUCAUCUUCAAGAUCUUCAAAGUGUUCAUAGGGUCGUGAACCACUCUUUGGCCGUGAAACUUCAUCAUUUGGCUGUGAACCCGACAUAAAAUCAAGCUAGGUCCGUGAACCCUUCUUAGGAUUUUGGGCCGUGAACCAUUCCAAAGCCGUGAACACUCAUAGUUUGGCCGUGAACACCUCUUGUUUGGCCGUGAACACCUUUCAGCCAUUCAUUUUCGAUUCUAACACUUCCUUGUCAAUGCUUCCUAGAUCCUAAGGUUGUUACCUCUACACUUUAGUUGUUAUAAACACUAAUUGUAUGCCUAUAUAUGUUAAUAUAUGUUAAAUAGGAUCCGUUUGUGCUCGGGACUUCACUUGGCAUACUUAACAUCCUAUAUCAAACUUUCAUCCAAUUCACUCACAUCAGGUGAGUUCAUACCCCUACAAAUACACUUUUAUAUGCUUUUAGGGGGGAAUACAAGUAGAACAUAAUGAAAUUGUGUUAACCAUUUACAUGUGAAAACAACAUCCCAAAAGGAUUUCCCUAUACUCAAAAACUUGUUAAAACUCUUUUAAAUUAUUUUAGACUUCUUUUAUAUCAAAUCAUAUUCGUCUAUCUAUUUACGUAUACGUAUGCUUUAACAGACUUAGGAGUAUUGCUAGAUACCUUGACUCUUGUUCCUUGUUUGGUUGUGGGCUUGGGGUAGGCUCACUAGUCUGAAUGUCGAUUAAAUCAUAGUUACACUUAUUAAAUACAUAUAUGAAUAUUAAACCCAUUUUUAAGGUACAUACUUAACUUAGUUGCUUAUCGUUAGCAAUUGAGUCAUUUCUACAAAUCGGUAACAGUCAAAUAAUCAUAGUAGUAAACUAUAAUAGGUAUAGUUUAGAGGAUUACUACUUACUACUUCUAGAUCAGUGAAACUUUCAUGAGUCAGUUCAUACAUACUAUAACUAGAACAGGAAGGAACAUACAUACUAUAACUAGAACAGAAAGGAACAUACAUACUAUAACAGGAACAAAAAAGAACAUAUAUUCUAUAACAAGAAUAAGAUAACAAUAAUGUGAGCCACUAUUUCAUGGCAUAACAAUAUACUUGUUGUGUCACGUUUUGUAACCAGAGUCUCCUGGAGGGAGAGCUUGAGUUUGUGUAUAGAUCUAUAGGGGAUUGACCAUCCUACACCUUGCUGCUAGCUAUAGUGGGACCUACAGGUCUACUGGUGACAAAUGUCAUACCAUUUCGACGUCUUUUGAUCAUCGUGUUUUAUACUAGUCAGUCAAGCAUGGUUAUAACCUCAUCACAUUUUACGUUAAUUUAACUUAUUAGUUUUAAGGUAGUUAGUACUUCAGUAGUUAUUUUAUACAAUACUGAUGUACAUCUUCAUUUUCCCAUUACAUUCAUAUAGUGAUAUUCUCACAUCGAGUAAUGCAAACU